rfam:Haliea rubra DSM 19751 genomic scaffold scaffold4, whole genome shotgun sequence.
GGGUGGUUAGCUCAGCUGGGAGAGCAUCUGCCUUACAAGCAGAGGGUCGGCGGUUCGAUCCCGUCACCACCCA